GACGAACGCUGGCGGCGUGCUUAACACAUGCAAGUCGAACGGAAAGGCCCUGCUUUUGUGGGGUGCUCGAGUGGCGAACGGGUGAGUAACACGUGAGUAACCUGCCCUUGACUUUGGGAUAACUUCAGGAAACUGGGGCUAAUACCGGAUAGGAGCUCCUGCUGCAUGGUGGGGGUUGGAAAGUUUCGGCGGUUGGGGAUGGACUCGCGGCUUAUCAGCUUGUUGGUGGGGUAGUGGCUUACCAAGGCUUUGACGGGUAGCCGGCCUGAGGGGGUGACCGGCCACAUUGGGACUGAGAUACGGCCCAGACUCCUACGGGAGGCAGCGGUGGGGAGUAUUGCACAAUAGGCGGAAGCCUGAUGCAGCAACGCCGCGUGCGGGAUGACGGCCUUCGGGUUGUAAACCGCUUUCGCCUGUGACGAAGCGUGAGUGACGGUAAUGGGUAAAGAAGCACCGGCUAACUACGUG
rnacentral:rRNA from 1 species